CAGCCGCCGCGGUAAUACGUAGGGUGCGAGCGUUAAUCGGAAUUACUGGGCGUAAAGCGUGCGCAGGCGGUUCGUUAAGACAGAUGUGAAAUCCCCGGGCUUAACCUGGGAACUGCAUUUGUGACUGGCGAGCUAGAGUAUGGCAGAGGGGGGUAGAAUUCCACGUGUAGCAGUGAAAUGCGUAGAGAUGUGGAGGAAUACCGAUGGCGAAGGCAGCCCCCUGGGCCAAUACUGACGCUCAUGCACGAAAGCGUGGGGAACGAACAGGAUUAGAUACCCCCGUAGUCCCUGUCUCUUAUAC
rnacentral:rRNA from 1 species